UUUACUCAAAAUUAAAAAAACACAAGGAACAAGGAUCACAAAACGAAUGCACCAUGAUUCUGAAUCUAUGUGCAGCCGACGCUCAUGAAACGAACGCACCAUGAUUAAAGCGAGCUGUCAUUUUUUUUUUCACUCGCGCGUGCUUGCAGCAUGUUCUUUCGUUGUGUUCGAUUCGUUUUUCCGCGUGUGAUCGGGGAUUUUCUACAUCCGGCGACUUCGAAGACUUAAGUGUUUUUUUCUCUCUAACAGGGACUUCUUUCACCGGGUGGAGCUGUUCGGACGGUCCACUCCUGCUGCGGCAUUCCCGGCACCCAUCAUGGCCACUUUAAGGCUUGCAAAGUGUCGAACGGUUGGACAAACCUUCCGAGAGACAAAUCCGGCUAAGAGAUGUUCAAAAUUUUUAGCAACUUAGGAACCGGCACCGGCUGUGGGAAUUCCAGAUCGCUGUCGGCGUUCCGUUCCUGGUGUUUGUUAGGGAUGUGCAGACGCACUGGACUCAAACUGCCGGCAGUGCAAUGAGGGUUAGGCGAUACCAUAGCGCAACGACGUGCAACAAGUGAAAUCUCUCGCUGAAGAAGCACUUCGAACCGGCCGUACUUCUGGAGACAAAUAGCUAUACAAUUGAGGACAUCACCGAAUUGACCCGAUGUUUCCAGACGACAGGAACGACAAACACAAACUGCUGGGCAGUUAGGAAUCUACGGAUGGAGUGCAAUGUCCCGAGGACCCGAGGAGGAACGUGUACCGAUUACAUCGAUCGGUGUAAUCGAUGGCGAGAUUGAACCGGAAUCACUAAAGAAAACGACGCGGAAAGAAAGAGCAAAAUUAAGUGAAAUUAAAGAGUAAUUAAAAAAAAACUCACUAAAUACUAUCAAAAGAAGUGUAUUUAGGAUUCCUUUUACUGUGUGUAAAUAGUUUUAGCAGCAUCAUUUAGUGAGAAAUAAAAAAUAAACAGUAUAAAAAACCAUAAAACCUACUGUAGUGAUUAUUUAUUUCAUUGUACGAAUAUAGUUUAAACAGUACUAUUUAGUAUGGAAAAUACUAUGAAGAACUGUAAAUUGACUAUGGAAUCCAUGGUAAUGCUUGCUGUAUUUAUUAUAAAUGUAUGAUGUUUCCUAUUGUCAGGGCGAGUUUUUGGAUGAAAAAUGCAACAUUAGAUUAACAGUAAAAUGCGUCGUAUUUGGAAAAAAAAUGUAUGGAAAAAUUUCGAAAUUUUUAUGGUACCGGUGCAUAACAACCCCCCUUUUUUAUGGUAAAAUCCCAAAAUACGACGCAAAUUAUCUUAAAAAACGAUGCUGUCUACUGUUAAAACACUGUCAAAAUGACAAUAUAUUUUAUCGUUUUGUAACGUUAAAAUUUACUGUAAGUUCAUCAGAAAUCUUUAUGCGGGACU